GUGAAAUACAAAUCGGACUAGGAAUAAGCUGGUUUUCUGCGAAUCUAUUUUAGUAGAUGAUUUAUUUAUUUUAUUAGUAGGUAUAGCACUGAAUAUCUAAUAUCAAUAGAAAGGAGUAUGAAAGUACUUACUUUGGAUAUUUAAUCUCAGAAUAACUAAUAAGUUGUUUGUAAUAAGUUAUCAGACUUCUUGCGAUAAGGUGAGGAGUCGAAGAGAAUUCCCACCC
rnacentral:rRNA from 1 species